rnacentral:rRNA from 1 species
AUGGCCGUCGAGAAGAUGCACUUGUCCAUGCCGUUGCCCGCCGGCUUGGAGGGUUUCCCCUUCACCACGUUCCAGGCGGAGCUGGAGGCCUUCACCGUCAAGUUGAGGGCGGAGGCGAAGAAGGCCAAGGCCAAGCCGGAGGUCAAGGAGGCCAAGGCCAAGGAGGAGAAGGCCAAGCCGGAGGUCAAGGCCAAGGUGAAGAAGGCCAAGGCGAAGGAGGCCAAGCCGGAGGUCGAGGCCAAGGCAAAGGAGGCCAAGCCGGAGGUUAAGGCCAAGGCGAAGGAGGCCAAGGCGAAGGAGGCCAAGCCGGAGGUCGAGGCCAAGUCAAAGGAGGUCAAGGCCAAGGUGGAGUUGAGGACCCUCACCAAGGAGGAGGAGGAGGCGCUCAUCAAGUUCGUGGCGCUGCUGGAGAAGGAGGAGGACUUCCUCGACGCCAAGGCGGAGGCGGAGAAGGAGGCGGAGAAGUGUGGCUCCAAGAGGAAGGUGGAGUUGGAGCGGGAUGAGGAGGGGGCAGCGUUCCUGGCGUGGAUCGAGUCCACCAAGCCACCGACGGACCAAGUGGAUUACUCGGAUGGGGAUGUGUCGGACGGCUACCACUCGCAGGACGACGCCAUCGGCAGCGACGGCAGGGUCAUGUCGCGGUAUGAGCGCCGCGUUCAGGCCAACAACGCUCGCUGGCCUUUCUUGGUGGGGGCCUAA